rnacentral:snRNA from 1 species
AUACUUAUAUGGCAGAGGAGAUACUAUGAUUAUGGAGGUAGUUUUCCCAAGGCGAGGCUCAUCCAUUGCACUUGGGGUGUGCGUUAGCAAUUUCCCCAAAUGUGAGAAACUAGACUGCAUAAUUUAUGGUGGUGGGGGACUGUAUUUGUGCUUUCACCUA